AGAAACGCUGUGUGGACAUCCUGAAUGUGCGCCUUGAGAUCUUCGUAAGAUGGGGCUCUGAAGUCACAGCCAUCACACUGAAGCACCUCCAUGAUCUGGGUCUACUCUCUCACAUUAGGAACCUGGGGGAGAAGAGGAGGGGGUGCCAAUCCGCACGGCUUUGCCAUCGGGCUGGGGACAGGCGGACAGAGAGAGGGCAAGGAAGGAGAGGGACAGAGAAAGAAAGAGGUCAACCCGCUCGGGUCGGGGCGGCCCGGGGCGCUCCCUCCGCCGCCCCGGGCUCGCUCCCUCUGGCUCUCGGCUCAGGUCUCCUGCCUCCCGCCCUCCGCCCCCCUCUCCGUCCCUACUCCUGUCUCCACACUCGGAGCAUCCGUCCUAAGCCUCCAGCCCUCUUCUCACUCAUCUUUCAUUUUCUCUUCUCUCCACAGAACUACACAAAAUUAAUUAAGCCCCAGCGCUCCGCUCCCCCCAGCAGGAGCGGCCAGCAGGAAAAGCACAGCCACCUCCACGGCCGCCACCACCACCUUCUCCUCCUCUUCCUCCCUCGCUUCGCCCCCCCUCCUCCGCCCCCCCUGCUCCCCCUCCUCCUCUCUCGCGGCUUCUCUCCCAACAGCCAGUCCAGGCAGGGAACUUCCUCUCCUCCCCGCUCCGCCAACCCUCCUCGGCCGAAUGAAUGAGCGCGUCUGUGCCUCCACCGCCCCGCGCUCUCCUCCCCGGAGCACUCGGACCACCCCGAGGUGGCUGGUAAUUGCAGUAACUUACAGAAGAAGCGUCCCGGCGCCGGGAGGUGUUUCGGGUUCUCCGGCCCCACCGCCGCCUUAUCCUCUUUCUCUUUCUCCUCUUCCUGCUCGGGUUAUUGUUGUGGAAGUUGUUUGGGAGUCUCAUGUGCUUCUGCCGGGUCUCAGCAAUGGAGGAUCGCCAUCUUCCCUGCCUUCCUCGGCUCCUCAGACUCGCUGCAGCUGCAGAUGACCUGAGAUAUCCGUCUCCCUCUGCCUCUGCCUCUCUCUCCCUCCCUCCCUCCCUCUCACCCUCUCUCCCCUCUCUCUCCCCUUCUCUCCUCUCCUCCCUCUCCCUCGCGCGCUCUCUCUCUCCCUCCCUCUGUGUCUCUCUCUGAAUAAUGAGCAACCGGAGGGAGAGAAAGCAAGACAGAAAGAGAGAAGGAAGACAAUCUUCUCCUGCCGCACAGAACGCCGGAGCACCAGGGGGUGCGCGAAGCCUUUCUAAUAACAACAACAACGUGCCGGAGAGAGGAAGAAAAAAGAAAGAAA